GUAGUUAUGAGCUUGAAAAUUAAAGAAGAUGGCGGUAUUUUAGUCUAUUCAGAGGAACCUGUCCUGUAAACGAUGAUCCACGAUUUAUUUUACUUAUUUUAUAAGUUUGCAUAUCGCCGUAGAUGGAAUGUCCUUUAAGGGUUUAUAAACAUUCAAGAGGUUUUUAUUUGUGAAAGUAAAUCAGGUCAAGAUGUAGCUGAUAAAUAAGAAGAGAUGGGUUACAAUAAAUUUAUUUAUAACGGAUUAAUAUAUGAAAUUUAUUAUAAAGGUGGAUUUGAAGGUAAUUUUAUANAAAUUUAUUAAAUGAUUCUAGCUCUAA
rnacentral:rRNA from 1 species